GCAAAGGUGAUAUCACAAUCCCCUUCCUACAGAUGACAGAUAGAGACUUGAAAGGCCACAUGGCUUGGCCAAAGCUGCAAAGCUAGCAGACAGGAGAGCUCCAUUAUGACCCAUGGGUCUUUCUACCAGUCCCAGCAUAUGGAACUGUUGUUUACCAACAAUUUUUGAGCUAGAAGAAUGGCUGUUUCCUGUGGAUCAGAUGGAGAUGACUGGCACUCUCAAUAUUUACCUACAACAGAAGCUCUGAAGGUUCCUGAGAGGGGCAGAACUUCUCAUGAGUCUCCUGUAGGGCCCCAUGAGUCAGAGCAUACAUUCUGUGAAAAACCACCGCCUUGCUAUUCUUCUGGCCAAGUGCAAACAAAAAUUUCAAGGAGUGCAUUUUCUGAGAUAUUUCAUUGGGAAGAUCCAAGGGAAUUCUGCCCACAGGCUGCCUGCCUGCCCAUCCUCCUGCUAAGGCUCCAGUCUGGAAUCAACUACGGGGAGAGAAGAGAGAGUCCUUUCACACCUACUGGGAAGCUGGCUUCCUGAGCAGACCUAUAAAAACAUAUGGCUUCCACAACUGCUGACAGAUGAAGGAAAAUUCGCAGCUACAAACCAGUGGGCCAGAAUCAAAGGUCUACCUCCAGCACAGGCAUCUGCUUUAUUUUUGAAAAGAUAUGUUCCUGUAAAUAAUGGCCCCAUUCACCGUAUGAGAUAGAAGACAUUUAUCUCACAAGAUCUGGUCUCUUGUAAUACCCAGAAGGACUUAGCUAGGACCCCAAGUGCCUCCCCCAACUUCUAUAAGCCAUACUCAGAAGCCCUUCCUAUUGGGAUUCC